rnacentral:rRNA from 1 species
AUUGAACGCUGGCGGCAGGCCUAACACAUGCAAGUCGAGCGAGCGGCGGACGGGUGAGUAAUGUAUGGGGACUGCCCGAUAGAGGGGGAUAACUACUGGAAACGGUAGCUAAUACCGCAGACAAUCGGAUAACCCAUAUGGGAUUAGCUAGUAGGUAGGGUAAUGGCUCACCUAGGCGACGAUGCCUAGCUGUUCUGAGAGGAUGAUCAGCCACACUGGGACGGAGACACGGCCCAGACUCCCACGGAGGCAGCAUUGGGGAAUAUUGCACAAUGGGCGCAAGCCUGAUGCAGCCAAGCAGCGUGUAUGAAGAAGGCCCUAGGGUUGUAAAGUACUUUCAGUUGGGAGGCGUUACCGACAGAAGAAGCACCGGCUAACUCCGUGCCAGCCGCCGCGGUAAUUC